GCGAGAGUGGUGAAACUGGUAGACACGCCAGACUUAGGAUCUGGUGCGCAAAGCAUAAGGGUUCGAGUCCCUUCUCUCGCA
rnacentral:tRNA from 1 species